rnacentral:rRNA from 1 species
AGAUUGAACGCUGGCGGCAUGCCUUACACAUGCAAGUCGAACGGCAGCACGGGAGCAAUCCCUGGUGGCGAGUGGCGAACGGGUGAGUAAUACAUCGGAACGUGCCCAAUCGUGGGGGAUAACGCGAGCGAAGCUGUGCUAAUACCGCAUAAGAUCUACGGAUAGAAAGCAGGGGAUCGCAAGACCUUGCGCGAAUGGAGCGGCGAUGGACAGAGUUAGGUAGUUGGUGAGGUAAAGGCUCACCGAAGCCUUCGAUCUGUAGCUGUCUGAGAGGACGACCAGCCCACGACGUGGGACUAGGAGACCGACCGGACCCAGG